GUAUAUCCGGUCGUCCCCUGCUGGCUUCUUUUUGCCUGUCCCAUUGUGUUCAAGUUGUAGCUCCAGUCAGUAACGGAUGUCCUAUCCCCUCUCUUUUCCACCAGCAAGUAGACAGCUGGUCACAACAUCUGUCCAAAUGUGUCCUUGAUGAAGAGCCAGUACUCUUCCUAAAUGACAGUGCCACACCCCUGGGGGCUGUGAGAACUGGGCUGUGGCAGGACCCCUUUGGGAUGUCUGUUAGGGAUGGUGCAAGUUGUAAACAGUUAGUGACUUCUCUCCUCCCAGCUCUGUCCUGAGAUGAGCCUCAGACCUGGACUCCCCAGGUGGGGGAUUCUGAGGAGUGUCCCAAGAGAGCUCUAAUAAUGGACAUAAUAAAAGAAGACAAAUAUGCUGUGUGUGGCUUAUUUAAACUACACAUAGUAUAAUUUUCAUGGCAUUGUGAACAACUCAGUUUAAACUAAUAAAUGCCCCCUUUUUUCCCCCCAGAAAUUGUAGCUUUGCUUUUGGUACCAAGUAUGAGCCGGCUCUGCUGUCUAAGAGGAACACACGGCCCACAGAGGUUAAGACGGAAGAUGCCAGCCCCCAAGUUCUGGAGGCCAGAAAUCUGACAUCAGGGUGUUGGCAAGACCGAACUCCCUUCAGGUCUCUAGGUGAGAAUCCUUCCUUGCCUCUUCCAUCUUCUGGUGUCUUUGGGUGUUCCUUGGGUUGUAGCUUUAUAAUUGCCAUCUCAGCCUCCGUCUUCACAUGGCCUUCUCGUCUGUUUCUCCCUGCCUAUCUUUUUUAAGAACAUCUGCCAUUGAAUUGAAGGCCCACCUGGAUGAUCCAGGAUGAUUUGUGUUGAGAUCUUUAAUUUACAUCUGCAAAGACCCUUUCCCAAAUAAGUUACAUUCAUAGGUUCUGGGAUUUAGGCAGAUAUUUUGAGCACUACCAUUCAACCCACUACAGCAAGUCCUUUCCAUACUAUGUUCAGAAACACAAAUGGUUAGAGAUGACCUCCUAGGUAAGCCUGGAUUUAAGGCUAUUAUUUACCUGUCCUGAUUUUCCCUUCUCAGCCUUCCUUAUCUCUGUGUUUCUAUGGAUAAUGUGGAUUACAACAAGAUGCCCUGGGAAGAUGCAUUUUUUCUGUCUGUGCUGGGGCCUGAUGGCUGAGAUAUGCUCAGUCUGACAAAACUCCUGAGGGUAGGGGGCUGCGCUUGGAGUCCAACUUCCAAGCCACAGUGUUUGCUUGGAUACUUAGCAGUAGAUAAAAAUAAGUCACUUAAAAAAGGUGACCCAAAGUGUCCUCAGUGAACAGCAUCUACAACUGUAAUUUCUAGAUCUGCUACAGUUAGUCCGGAUGGUCUCUGCGUAGCUUUUAUCAGGUGUUAGUUUCUUAAUGGUCUUACUUCCAGGCCAUAAGAGCAGCCUCGAUAGUUAAUAAUUAUUGUUGUCAGCAUUCUGGGCUAUAGAUGCAGUAGCGAAUGCCAUUUGCACCUGCAUCCUCCUGGGAAACACUGGUCUCCACUAUGGUGUUAAAGAUCUUGCUUUGUAGUAUUAGGCUGGGUCCUUUCAUGGUGGCCAAAACUGGAGUAAGAGUGUAAUGAGUCUUCAGCGGCUAUGAAACUGGGCUCAUGGCUGGAACCCAGCAAGCUCUUUCUCCUUUGGUGGGCAUUGUUUAGAGUAGUAAUGGCCGAAUAUGGUGGGAGAGUUGAGCAGAUCUGACAAGGCUUAGGGAAUACUGGAUGACUCUCUUCAGGGGAACUUCAACUAAGAAACGUGAACUCUGGUUCAGCUUCGUCCUGGAGAGAUGCUCAGAAUAUUUUACUAAAUGGGAAAACCAAAUAGAAGACUGAGGUUACAGAGUGAUGUGGUAUAAUGCAACAACAGGGCUGCAGUAGGAUGUUCUUCCUUCUCUGCUCUGUUGUUCUCCAUAGUAAUUAUUUACCCUCACCUAUGUUUUGCACUGAGGAAUCUUGUUGAUUUUCCCUGUUCCUCUGUAUUGUGAGUGUAAGCUCCAUGUCCCCAAAUACAGUAGGUGCUCUGUACACGUUGUUAGUUUGAUGAAAAAAUUAAACUAUGAUUUUCUGUCCUAACAACCUCAGUAUGCAUAAAUUGCACAAGAAGGAAAAGGGGUAAAUCUGGUUUCUACCCACAACUUUUGGCAGCUAAAAACCCUAUUCACCUCUAUCUGUUUAAGAACAAGGACCCCAGUGGUCUGGGGUGCAAUGUUGUAGGAGAGAUGUUGGGAGAAGGGUGGAUGUUUUGGUCCAGCUUCAGGACUUGCUGUUUGACUCUGUUUGGC
ensembl:lincRNA